AUUGAACGCUGGCGGAAUGCUUUACACAUGCAAGUCGAGCGGCAGCGCGGGGCAACCUGGCGGCGAGCGGCGAACGGGUGAGUAAUGCAUCGGAACAUGUCCAAGUCGUGGGGGAUAGCCCGGCGAAAGCCGGAUUAAUACCGCAUACGCCCGAGAGGGGAAAGCCGGGGACCGCAAGGCCUGGCGCGAUUGGGUUGGCCGAUGUCCGAUUAGCUAGUUGGCGGGGUAAGAGCCCACCAAGGCGAUGAUCGGUAGCUGGUCUGAGAGGAUGAUCAGCCACACUGGGACUGAGACACGGCCCAGACUCCUACGGGAGGCAGCAGUGGGGAAUUUUGGACAAUGGGGGAAACCCUGAUCCAGCCAUUCCGCGUGAGUGAAGAAGGCCUUCGGGUUGUAAAGCUCUUUUGUCCGGAACGAAACGGUGCGGGUGAAUAUCCCGUGCUACUGACGGUACCGGAAGAAUAAGCACCGGCUAACUACGUGCCAGCAGCCGCAGUAAUAC
rnacentral:rRNA from 1 species